UACGGAGGGAGCUAGCGUUGUUCGGAAUUACUGGGCGUAAAGCGCGCGUAGGCGGCUUUGUAAGUUAGAGGUGAAAGCCCGGGGCUCAACUCCGGAAUUGCCUUUAAGACUGCAUCGCUAGAAUCCGGGAGAGGUGAGUGGAAUUCCGAGUGUAGAGGUGAAAUUCGUAGAUAUUCGGAAGAACACCAGUGGCGAAGGCGACUUACUGGACACAUAUUGACGCUGAGGUGCGAAAGCGUGGGGAGCAAACAGG
rnacentral:rRNA from 1 species